CACGUAGUUAGCCGUGACUUUCUGGUUGGAUACCGUCACUGCGUGAACAGUUACUCUCACGCACGUUCUUCUCCAACAACAGAGCUUUACGAGCCGAAACCCUUCUUCGCUCACGCGGUGUUGCUCCAUCAGGCUUGCGCCCAUUGUGGAAGAUUCCCUACUGCUGCCCUCCCGUAGGAGUAUGGACCGUGUCUCAGUUCCAUUGUGGCCGAUCAGUCUCUCAACUCGGCUAUGCAUCAUCGCCUUGGUAAGCCGUUACCUUACCAACUAGCUAAUGCACCGCAGGUCCAUCCCAGAGUGAUAGCCAAAGCCAUCUUUACAAAACAAAGCCAUGUGGUCUUUUGUUGUUAUGCGGUAUUGCAGUCUGUUUACCAAAUGUUACUCCCCCGCUCCGAGGGCCUAGGUUUACCUACGUUGUUACCUCCUACCCGUCCGCCCACUCUACGUGGU
rnacentral:rRNA from 1 species